rnacentral:lncRNA from 10 species
CCGGAGCAUCCGGGAGCCGCCACUGCCGCCGCCGCUGCCGCUGCUACCGCCACUAGCGCUGCUUCCACUGCUUCUACCUCCCCUCCCAGGACCCCGAGACACCCCGGGCGCGAGCGGCAGUGCUGCUUGCUUGCUCCUCCUCUCCCCCAGCCCUUCCCCUCCGUGACCUACCCACUCCUUGCAGCCCUCGCCCGCACCUUCUCCAACACCCCGGCAUCCCUGCACCACCUGCUCGGGCAGCCCCGGCGGGCUCUGGGACUUGCUGUGCGCGCCGAGAGGAAGGCAAGCUCCAAACCCCUGCCUGGAAGACGGGCUGUCGCGGCUGCACCACCAGCAGGAGGAGGAGGAGAAGAAACUAUUUCGCGAUACCCCAUUCUGCGGGUGCUUUGCCGCUGCCGCUUCUGCUGCCGCCGAUCCGAGUCCGCGGGUUCGAACACCGCAGCGGUGGGGACGGUGGGUCCGGCGGGCGCCGGGAGGAGGACACCAGCGGAGCCCUGCACUCUCGUGCCCCGCUCACCAGCAUCUACUUGCCCCCUCGUUCCUUCCCCAGCCCUUUAGAGAAGGGACCAUGAUUUGGAAACGCAGCGCCGUUCUCCGCUUCUACAGUGUCUGCGGGCUCCUGCUACAAGGUGAGUAACUGAAGGUUAAAGCCAGAAUUCCUGGAUUUGAAGUGUUA